UGGAAGGCUGAUCUCCUCUCUAGGGCCGGAUGCAGCCCUAACAAAGGGCCAAGGGUUUUGUAUUUUUGAUUUAUGUUCUUGGAAUUGUAUAAACUUCUUUGAUCUUAAUGAAUAUUUCUUUAAUUCCAUAUUUGAAUUCUGUGAUUUUAAAUAUGAUGUUUAUACAACUGCUCUUCAUGAUCACUAAGUAAAUAUAAGAUAGUCCAUGCUUAAGGAAGAUGCGAUGUGCUGCCACUUUAGAUUAGGGUAGACAUUUCAUGCUAACUAAAGAUGGAUUAUGCC
rnacentral:lncRNA from 1 species